rnacentral:rRNA from 1 species
AUUGAACGCUGGCGGCAUGCUUUACACAUGCAAGUCGAACGGGGUGAGGAGCUUGCUCCUCAUCUAGUGGCGAACGGGUGAGUAAUACAUCGGAACGUACCGUGUAGUGGGGGAUAACGUAGCGAAAGUUACGCUAAUACCGCAUACGAUCCACGGAUGAAAGCAGGGGACCUUCGGGCCUUGUGCUAUACGAGCGGCCGAUGUCUGAUUAGCUAGUUGGUGGGGUAAAGGCCCACCAAGGCAACGAUCAGUAGCGGGUCUGAGAGGAUGAUCCGCCACACUGGGACUGAGACACGGCCCAGACUCCUACGGGAGGCAGCAGUGGGGAAUUUUGGACAAUGGGCGCAAGCCUGAUCCAGCCAUGCCGCGCGUCUGAAGAA